rnacentral:rRNA from 1 species
CCUACGGGAGGCAGCAGUGGGGGAUAUUGCACAAUGGGGGGAACCCUGAUGCAGCGACGCCGCGUGGGUGAAGAAGGGCCUCGGCGCGUAAAGCCCUGUCAGCAGGGAAGUAAAUGACGGUACCUGAAGCAGAAGCCCCGGCUAACUACGUGCCAGCAGCCGCGGUAAUACGUAGGGGGCAAGCGUUAUCUGGAUUUACUGGGUGUAAAGGGGGCGCAGACGGCGAUGCAAGCCAGGAGUGAACGCCCGGGGCCCAACCCCGGGACUGCUGUUGGAACUGCGUGGCUGGAGUGCAGGAGGGGUAGGCGGAAUUCCUGGUGUAGCGGUGAAAUGCGUAGAUAUCAUGAGGAACACCGGUGGCGAAGGCGGGCUGCUGGACUGCAACUGACGUUGAGGCCCGAAAGCGUGGGGAGCAAACAGGAUUAGAUACCCUUGUAGUC